rnacentral:rRNA from 1 species
GACGAACGCUGGCGGCGUGCUUAACACAUGCAAGUCGAGCGGAAAGGCCCUUUCGGGGGUACUCGAGCGGCGAACGGGUGAGUAACACGUGAGUAAUCUGCCCCUGGCUUUGGGGUAGCCACCGGAAACGGUGAUUAAUACCGGAUACGACCACUUCUCGCAUGGGAUGGUGGUGGCAAGCUUUUCGGACAGGGAUGUGCUCGCGGCCUAUCAGCUUGAUGGUGAGGUAAUGGCUCACCAUGGCUUCGACGGGUAGCCGGCCUGAGAGGGUGACCGGUCACACUGGGACUGAGACACGGCCCAGACUCCUACGGGAGGCAGGAGUGGGGAAUAGUGGACAAGAGGCGGAAGCCUGAUCCAGCAACGCCGCGUGGGGGAUGACGGCCUUCGGGUUGUAAACCUCUGUCAGCAGUGACGAAGCGAAAGUGACGGUACCUGCAGAAGAAGCACCGCCCAACUACGUGCCAGCCGCCGCAGUAA